rnacentral:rRNA from 1 species
AUGAACGCUGGCGGCGUGCUUAACACAUGCAAGUCGAACGAGAAGUGAAGACGGAAACCUUCGGGCGGAAGGCUUUAUUUCGAGUGGCGGACGGGUGAGUAACGCGUGGGUAACCUGCCUCAUACAGGGGGAUAACAGUUGGAAACGACUGUUAAUACCGCAUAAGACCACAGCACCGCAUGGUGCGGGGGUAAAAACUCCGGUGGUAUGAGAUGGACCCGCGUUCGAUUAGCCAGUUGGCGGGGUAACGGCCCACCAAAGCGACGAUCGAUAGCCGAUCUGAGAGGAUGACCGGCCACAUUGGGACUGAGACACGGCCCAAACUCCUACGGGAGGCAGCAGUGGGGAAUAGUGCACAAUGGGGGAAACCCUGAUGCAGCGACGCCGCGUGAGUGAAGAAGUAUUUCGGUAUGUAAAGCUCUAUCAGCAGGGAAGAAAAUGACGGUACCUGAGUAAGAAGCCCCGGCUAACUACGUG